GCCCGGAUGGUCUAGUGGUGAGUUCACAAAGGUUACGCCACUUUAAUUUCUCCACUAACAACUAAAUCAGGUAUGAUUCUCGCUUUGGGUGCGAGAGGUCGCGCGUUCGACUCGCGCUUCGGGCC
rnacentral:tRNA from 1 species